UCAAAAACAUGUCCUUUAGAGUUAAAUUUAAGGUCUAACCUGCCCACUGAUAUAUUAAAUGGCCGCAGUAUUUUAACUGUGCAAAGGUAGCAUAAUCAUUAGUCUUUUAAUUGAAGGCUUGUAUGAAUGGUUGGACAAGAUAUGUAUUGUUUCAUGUAAAUUUAUAGAAUUUUAUUUUUUAGUUAAAAAGCUAAAAUUUUAUUAAAAGACGAGAAGACCCUAUAGAUCUUUAUAGUUAUUAAGUUUUAUUUAUGAAGAAUAUUUUAGAUUUAAUUUAUAUAAUUAUUUUAUUGGGGCGAUAGUAAGAUUAACUUAACUCUUAUGUAACUAGUACAUAAAUUAGUGAUUAAUUGAUCCAGUAUUAUUGAUUAAUAAAAUAAGUUACCUUAGGGAUAACAGCGUAAUUUUUUUAGAGAGUUCAUAUCGAUAAAAAAGAUUGCGACCUCGAUGUUGGAUUAAGAGAUAAGUUUGGGCGUAGCCGUUCA
rnacentral:rRNA from 1 species